rnacentral:rRNA from 1 species
GAAGGUUGAACCGGUCGAAGAUACCAGCUGGCUGCAACUGUUUAUUAAAAACACAGCACUCUGCAAACACGAAAGUGGACGUAUAGGGUGUGAUGCCUGCCCGGUGCUGGAAGGUUAAUUGAUGGUGUAAUCGAAAGAGAAGCUCCUGAUCGAAGCCCCAGUAAACGGCGGCCGUAACUAUAACGGUCCUAAGGUAGCGAAAUUCCUUGUCGGGUAAGUUCCGACCUGCACGAAUGGCAUAAUGAUGGCCAGGCUGUCUCCACCCGAGACUCAGUGAAAUUGAAAUCGCCGUGAAGAUGCGGUGUACCCGCGGCUAGACGGAAAGACCCCGUGAACCUUUACUAUAGCUUGACACUGAACAUUGAAUUUUGAUGUGUAGGAUAGGUGGGAGACUUAGAAGUAGUCACGCCAGUGAUUAUGGAGUCGUCCUUGAAAUACCACCCUUUAACGUUUGAUGUUCUAACGAAGAUUACGAAACGUGGUCUCGGACAGUGUCUGGUGGGUAGUUUGACUGGGGCGGUCUCCUCCCAAAGAGUAACGGAGGAGCACGAAGGUUUGCUAAUGACGGUCGGACAUCGUCAGGUUAGUGCAAUGGUAUAAGCAAGCUUAACUGCGAGACAGACAAGUCGAGCAGGUACGAAAGUAGGUCAUAGUGAUCCGGUGGUUCUGCAUGGAAGGGCCAUCGCUCAACGGAUAAAAGGUACUCCGGGGAUAACAGGCUGAUACCGCCCAAGAGUUCAUAUCGACGGCGGUGUUUGGCACCUCGAUGUCGGCUCAUCACAUCCUGGGGCUGAAGUAGGUCCCAAGGGUAUGGCUGUUCGCCAUUUAAAGUGGUACGCGAGCUGGGUUUAGAACGUCGUGAGACAGUUCGGUCCCUAUCUGCCGUGGGCGUUGGAGAAUUGAUUGGGGCUGCUCCUAGUACGAGAGGACCGGAGUGGACGCACCACUGGUGUUCCGGUUGUGUCGCCAGACGCAUUGCCGGGUAGCUAAGUGCGGAAGAGAUAAGUGCUGAAAGCAUCUAAGCACGAAACUUGCCAAGAGAUGAGUUCUCCCAGAUUACAAAUCUGUAAGGGUUGUUUAAGACUAAGACGUAGAUAGG